CCCUUAGAUGUUCUGGGCCGCACGCGCGCUACACUGAUUCAUGCAACAAGUUUUGUCCUUGGCUGAUAGGCCUGGGUAAUCUUUGAGCGUGAAUCGUGAUGGGGAUAGAUGAUUGCAAUUAUUCAUCUUCAACGAGGAAUUCCUAGUAAACGCAAGUCAUCAGCUUGCAUUGAUUACGUCCCUGCCCUUUGUACACACCGCCCGUCGCACCUACCGAUUGAAUGGUCCGGUGAAAUCUUCGGAUCUGAGAGAUGUCUGAUUAAUUUCGGACGCCUUUUGGAAAAGUUGCUUAAACCUUACCAUUUAGAGGAAGGUGAAGUCGUAACA
rnacentral:rRNA from 1 species